UGUUUUCAUGGAUUAUCUUAC
rnacentral:misc_RNA from 1 species